UAAAGAUCAUAGAGCCAGGGAAUGGUUGGGUUGGAGAGGUCCUUAAAGAUCAUAGAGCCAGGGAAUGGUUGGGCUGGAGAGGUCCUUAAAGAUCAUAGAGCCAGGGAAUGGUUGGGUUGGAGAGGUCCUUAAAGAUCAUAGAGCCAGGGAAUGGUUGGGUUGGAGAGGUCCUUAAAGAUCAUAGAGCCAGGGAAUGGUUGGGUUGGAGAGGUCCUUAAAGAUCAUAGAGCCAGGGAAUGGUUGGGUUGGAGAGGUCCUUAAAGAUCAUAGAACCAGGGAAUGGUUGGGCUGGAGAGGUCCUUAAAGAUCAUAGAGCCAGGGAAUGGUUGGGUUGGAGAGGUCCUUAAAGAUCAUAGAGCCAGGGAAUGGUUGGGUUGGAGAGGUCCUUAAAGAUCAUAGAGCCAGGGAAUGGUUGGGCUGGAGAGGUCCUUAAAGAUCAUAGAGCCAGGGAAUGGUUGGGCUGGAGA